rnacentral:rRNA from 1 species
CAGUCGCCGCGGGAAUACGUAGGUGGCAAGCGUUGUCCGGAAUUAUUGGGCGUAAAGGGCUCGCAGGCGGUUUCUAAAGUCUGAUGUGAAGGCCCCCGGCUCAACCGGGGAGGGUCAUUGGAAACUGGGAAACUUGAGUGCAGAAGAGGAGAGUGGAAUUCCACGUGUAGCGGUGAAAUGCGUAGAGAUGUGGAGGAACACCAGUGGCGAAGGCGACUCUCUGGUCUGUAACUGACGCUGAGGAGCGAAAGCGUGGGGAGCGAACAGGAUUAGAUACCCGUGUAGUCCCUGUCUCUUAUAC